rnacentral:rRNA from 1 species
UACGGAGGGUGCAAGCGUUAUCCGGAUUCACUGGGUUUAAAGGGUGCGUAGGCGGGAAGGUAAGUCCGCGGUGAAAUCUCACGGCUCAACCGUGAAACUGCCGUUGAUACUGCUUUUCUUGAGUUCGGGAGAGGUUGAUGGAAUUCCAGGUGUAGCGGUGAAAUGCGUAGAUAUCUGGAAGAACACCAGUGGCGAAGGCGGUCAACUGGCCCGUAACUGACGCUGAGGCACGAAAGCGUGGGGAGCGAACAGG